rnacentral:rRNA from 1 species
GAGUUUAAUAUUUUUAAAUUAGUUUUGUAUUUAGUAUUAAUUUCUCACUUUUUAAGGAAUAUUUUGUUGGGGCGAUGGGAAGAUUAAUUAAACUCUUCUUAAAUUUUUACGUUAAUAAGUGAUUUUUGGAUCCAUGUUUGUUUGAUUAUAAGAUAAAAUUACCUUAGGGAUAACAGCGUAAUUCUUUUAAAGAGUUCUUAUCGAAAUAAGGGAUUGC